GAACGUUAUUCGGAAUCACUGGGCUUAAAGCGCGUGUAGGCGGGCCAGCACGUCGGGCGCUGAAAUCCCCCGGCUCAACCGGGGAACGGGCACCGAUACGUCUGGCCUGGAGGGGAGUAGGGGGACCUGGAACUUCCGGUGGAGCGGUGAAAUGCGUUGAGAUCGGAAGGAACGCCCGUGGCGAAAGCGAGGUCCUGGGCUCUUACUGACGCUGAGACGCGAAAGCCAGGGGAGCGAACGGG
rnacentral:rRNA from 1 species